rnacentral:rRNA from 1 species
GAGUAGGGCGGGACACGUGGUAUCCUGUCUGAAUAUGGGGGGACCAUCCUCCAAGGCUAAAUACUCCUGACUGACCGAUAGUGAACCAGUACCGUGAGGGAAAGGCGAAAAGAACCCCGGCGAGGGGAGUGAAAAAGAACCUGAAACCGUGUACGUACAAGCAGUGGGAGCACGCUUAGGCGUGUGACUGCGUACCUUUUGUAUAAUGGGUCAGCGACUUAUAUUCUGUAGCAAGGUUAACCGAAUAGGGGAGCCGAAGGGAAACCGAGUCUUAACUGGGCGUUAAGUUGCAGGGUAUAGACCCGAAACCCGGUGAUCUAGCCAUGGGCAGGUUGAAGGUUGGGUAACACUAACUGGAGGACCGAACCGACUAAUGUUGAAAAAUUAGCGGAUGACUUGUGGCUGGGGGUGAAAGGCCAAUCAAACCGGGAGAUAGCUGGUUCUCCCCGAAAGCUAUUUAGGUAGCGCCUCGUGAAUUCAUCUCCGGGGGUAGAGCACUGUUUCGGCAAGGGGGUCAUCCCGACUUACCAACCCGAUGCAAACUGCGAAUACCGGAGAAUGUUAUCACGGGAGACACACGGCGGGUGCUAACGUCCGUCGUGAAGAGGGAAACAACCCAGACCGCCAGCUAAGGUCCCAAAGUCAUGGUUAAGUGGGAAACGAUGUGGGAAGGCCCAGACAGCCAGGAUGUUGGCUUAGAAGCAGCCAUCAUUUAAAGAAAGCGUAAUAGCUCACUGGUCGAGUCGGCCUGCGCGGAAGAUGUAACGGGGCUAAACCAUG